GUGACAGCACAGGGAAAAUGCUCCGGCUGUAAACCAGGAAGUAGGUCUCUUCAGCAGAGGCCUGACCAUGCUGGUGCCAUGAUCCUGGACUUCCAGCACCCAGAACGGGGAGACUGAUCAUUUGCUGAAAGCCUCCGAAGAAACAGACACAACCAGGACCUGAAUUGGAUCCGUGAGGGGCAUUGGCAUCUUGGAGAGAGGCACCGCAUGGAUGCGGAACUCCAGCUCUGGACUAGUCAGGACUCGGCACUGGAGUCCAGGGCAGGAAGGUCUGCCUGGGGCUGGAAUUCGGGAAGGAGUGAGUGGCUGUGAGCAAGGGAGCAGCCUGUGCCGUGCGUUGCUGGGUCUUCCUGCCGGGCCAGCCUGUGCUCCAACCUCAGCCCAUUUAGUAGGGAAACUCAGCUUUCCUGCUCAGGCGUCCCCCAGCUGGGGCAUUUUCUUUCUUUGGGAGGCCGAGGCUGAAUUCUGAUGUCUCAGCCCAGCUGCCCCCUGGAGGUGAGCCGCUGCGGUUUGGGAGUGGACGGCGCACUCCCUGCACAACUCGCCAAGUGCAGUGAAGUCAGAGGGAUGACAUGUUGAACCUGUGCCGGUUUGCAGAUGAGUGAGUUUUGCCGGCACGUGCUCCUGGAACAUACCUUUUGUAUGGUAUUAAUGUAAAAGUUUCAUUUAAAAGAC